rnacentral:tRNA from 1 species
GGGCCUAUAGCUCAGCUGGUUUAGAGCGCACGCCUGAUAAGCGUGAGGUCGAUGGUUCGAGUCCAUUUAGGCC